GACGAACGCUGGCGGCGUGCCUAAUACAUGCAAGUAGGACGCAGUUGCGAACGGGUGAGUGACGCGUGGGUGACUAGCUAUUAAAGGGGGAUAACCAUUGGAAACGAUAGCUAAUACCGCAUACUAGUGGAUGGAUCUUCGGUGUAUUAGUUAGUAGGUAGGGUAAUGGGCUACCUAGGCAAAGAUACAUAGCCGACUCUGGGGGGUGGUCGGCCAAACUGGGACUGGGGACCGGGCCAGAACCCUACGGGGGGCCGCAGUAGGGAAUCUUUGGAAAUGGGGCGAAACCUGACCGAGCACAGCCGCGGUGGUUAAGAAGGGUUUCGGGUCUGAAAGCUACGUUGUUAAGGAAGCGGUACUUAACCAGAAAGGGACGGCUAACUACGUGCCAGCCGCCGCGGUAAUAC
rnacentral:rRNA from 1 species